GACGAACGCUGGCGGCGUGCUUAACACAUGCAAGUCGAACGGAAAGGCCCUGCUUGCAGGGUACUCGAGUGGCGAACGGGUGAGUAACACGUGGGUGAUCUGCCCUGCACUUCGGGAUGAGCCUGGGAAACUGGGUCUAAUACCGGAUAGGAGCCAUUUUUAGUGUGAUGGUUGGAAAGUUUUUUCGGUGUAGGAUGAGCUCGCGGCCUAUCAGCUUGUUGGUGGGGUAAUGGCCUACCAAGGCGGCGACGGGUAGCCGGCCUGAGAGGGUGGACGGCCACAUUGGGACUGAGAUACGGCCCAGACUCCUACGGGAGGCAGCAGUGGGGAAGAUUGCACAAUGGGUGCAAGCCUGAUGCAGCGACGCCGCGUGGGGGAUGACGGCCUUCGGGUUGUAAACUCCUUUCGCUAGGGACGAAGCUUUUUGUGACGGUACCUAGAUAAGAAGCACCGGCUAACUACGUG
rnacentral:rRNA from 1 species